AGAGUUUGAUUCCUGGCUCAGAACGAACGCUGGCGGCAGGCCUAACACAUGCAAGUCGAGCGCACCUUCGGGUGAGCGGCGGACGGGUUAGUAACGCGUGGGAAUAUGCCCUUCUCUACGGAAUAGCCUCGGGAAACUGAGAGUAAUACCGUAUACGCCCUUCGGGGGAAAGAUUUAUCGGAGAAGGAUUAGCCCGCGUUAGAUUAGAUAGUUGGUGGGGUAAUGGCCUACCAAGUCUACGAUCUAUAGCUGGUUUUAGAGGAUGAUCAGCAACACUGGGACUGAGACACGGCCCAGACUCCUACGGGAGGCAGCAGUGGGGAAUCUUAGACAAUGGGCGAAAGCCUGAUCUAGCCAUGCCGCGUGUGUGAUGAAGGUCUUAGGAUCGUAAAGCACUUUCGCCAGGGAUGAUAAUGACAGUACCUGGUAAAGAAACCCCGGCUAACUCCGUGCCAGCAGCCGCGGUAAUACGGAGGGGGUUAGCGUUGUUCGGAAUUACUGGGCGUAAAGCGUACGUAGGCGGAUCAGAAAGUUAGGGGUGAAAUCCCGAGGCUCAACCUCGGAACUGCCUCUAAAACUCCUGGUCUUGAGUUCGAGAGAGGUGAGUGGAAUUCCAAGUGUAGAGGUGAAAUUCGUAGAUAUUUGGAGGAACACCAGUGGCGAAGGCGGCUCACUGGCUCGAUACUGACGCUGAGGUACGAAAGUGUGGGGAGCAAACAGGAUUAGAUACCCUGGUAGUCCACACCGUAAACGAUGAAUGCCAGUCGUCGGGCAGUAUACUGUUCGGUGACACACCUAACGGAU
rnacentral:rRNA from 1 species